UACGUAGGCAGCGAGCGUUGUUCGGAGUUACUGGGCGUAAAGAGUGCGUAGGCGGGUCUUUAAGUCAGGGGUGAAAUCCUGGAGCUCAACUCCAGAACUGCCUUUGAUACUGAAGAUCUUGAGUUCGGGAGAGGUGAGUGGAACUGCGAGUGUAGAGGUGAAAUUCGUAGAUAUUCGCAAGAACACCAGUGGCGAAGGCGGCUCACUGGCCCGAUACUGACGCUGAGGCACGAAAGCGUGGGGAGCAAACAGG
rnacentral:rRNA from 1 species